rnacentral:rRNA from 2 species
UUAGCGCUGUGGAACCACCCGAUCCCAUCCCGAACUCGGAAGUGAAACGCAGCUGCGCCGAUGGUAGUGUGGCUCAAGCCAUGCGAGAGUAGGUCAUCGCCA